CAUCACUACGCUAGAUGCAUAUCAAUAAGCGGAGGAAAAGAAACUAACUAAGGAUUCCCUCAGUAACGGCGAGUGAAGCGGGAAGAGCUCAAAUUUGAAAUCUUCAAGGGUUCUACCUUUACGAAUUGUAGUUUAAAGAAGUGUUUUCUGUUGGAGUUUCGGUAAAAGUUCUUUGGAAUAGGACAUCAUAGAGGGUGAGAAUCCCGUAUUUGACCAUUAUUUCCAGCUGUGUGAUACAGCUUUCAAAGAGUCGGAUUGUUUGGGAAUGCAGUCCAAAAUGGGUGGUAAAUUUCAUCUAAAGCUAAAUACUGGCGAGAGACCGAUAGCGAACAAGUACCGUGAGGGAAAGAUGAAAAGAACUUUGAAAAGAGAGUUAAACAGUACGUGAAAUUGUCAAAAGGGAAGCGUUUGACACCAGUGUUGUUUUCUCGAAAAUCAAUUAAAAAUGGUGGGAUUUUGUGUUGUAUUGACUUUAUCAGCUUUCUGCACUUUUUUCCUGUCUUUUUUAAUGCACUUUUCGUUUAACAAGUCAACAUCAAUUUCUUUUGCUGUAAAAGAGUCAUUGGAAGGUGGCUUUCAUUUCGGUAGAAAGUGUUUAUAGCCUUUGACUUCUGCAAUCGGAGAGAUUGAGGUCUGCAGCGUAGAUCCUUCGGGGUUAGAUACAUUUGUGCUAAGCUAUAGCCUUUUCAUAGACAACAUUGUUGACUAUGAUCAUCAUGUAGCUUACUCGCUUAUGCUAUUUUACCUACGCUUAGGAUGUUGACGAGACUGUCGAUCUC
rnacentral:rRNA from 1 species